UUUUGUUUUGUUUUGUUCUUUUGUCCUGGGUGCUUGGAUUACAGUCAGCAGCCACCAUGUCCUGCUUUAAAAUGACCUCUUUUACAAGAAAUGUAGUUAUUCCCAAUUUGAGCUUUCAUCUUACCUUUUGUUUCUUAAGAUUUAUUAACUAUUAUUUCAUGUGCGUGUGCUUUAGUGUAUGUUUGUGUGCCCUGUCCAUUGAAUCUGGAGCUUAGUGACUGAUAGGUUGGCUGACGGUUUCUCUGCCCAAUCCUGGGCCUCCAGGCCUUGCUACCAUGUCUGGUUUCUCACAUAAUUGCUAAGGAUCCUAUCUCAAGUCCCCAUCGAUAUGGAACAAGUACUUUAAUCCACUGAUGGCCAGCAAUGUGCUGGUUUUUCAUGCCCAGUAAUGAUCACUGCCCAGAGCAAUAUGGCCUGAAUGAAACUUCAUAUGGACUAUUUCAGAAGGACAAAGGAUUGAUUCUGUUGCAGAGGUUCCUGUCAACCUUCUGGGAGCCUGGAAAUGAUAACUGUAACAUCAUGAUUAUAAUGUCAGGCACACUUUGCUCUUCCAAAGACUCCAUUGCCUUUAGUGAAGGCCAGCUACAUGGAAUGGCACACCAUGUGAACAUGAAGAGGAGUCCUGUGAAAGAUCGUCUUCUUACUGAAUUUGGUCAUCUGCUACAUGCUCUCCAUAGAGUGGAACGUCCACCAGCAUUUUCAAACUACAGCUUUGUGUCCCACCACAGGUACCCAUCCACGGGACUCUUAAGCUACCCGGCCAGGGUGCUGUUUGCACAGACCAUUCUAUUAAUAGCAUUCAAGUCUUUGGUUUCAAAGGAGAGACUUUCUGAGAUUUAUCCUGGCAAUAGAGACAUCCACAAGUUCCCAGAUGUUUCUUGGUUAUUAGAAUAACCUGACAGCAUCUUUGCUCAGAAAGCAGGUUAUGAAAAAAGGUCCUUUAGUCCAACAAUCCAGAUGUCCUUUCACUGCCAUUUGGCAUGGGGUAUAGCCAGGAUCAUAAAUAUUAGAUACUUCUAAUACUCUAUUAAAAUGUUAACGGUAUUAGAAAUUUAAAUUAUUCUUCCAUAUCAGAACACAAUUUUGCCAUUGAUGAUUUCUUUAAUAAUAUCCUUCAUGUCUUCCAGCUCCCAGCUCUACUGACUCCAGAUCUGUGGGCUCAGAGCAGUAUUGUUGUCGAUGGAAAAAGUAGUCAAGAGAAACGCACACACAUGCACCCCAGGUGCUGAGCACUGAACACCAGGACUCACACAUCAAAAGUCGGUAAGCUCUCCCAUCUUCCACCGAGCUUCAGUUUUUCAGCCAUCUCUCCAACUCAUGUGAUGAUCAUUGGAAAAGCACAUACAUCAAAAGUUUGAAAAUAGACCCUGCUGAUCUUGAGCAACAGCAAGGUUCAGAAGACCCUCCAGAGGAUCUUCUGUCCUCAAGGACUUGAUAAGAGACUUCUCAUUGCAGAAAAACCAAGGACACCUGAUUGGGGGAAAAACAUACCUACAGAGCAGCAGAUUGAAGGAAUGGAGUUCUGUGCCUGUUACAGAGCACACACACCAGCAGUGCACAGAGGACAGGUGGACUGGAGCACACAAACCAUCGGUGCAUGCAGGGCAGCUGUGCACUGGAACAUACAGACCAGAGGUGCACGCAGGGCAGGUAAGCACUGGAACAGGCCCUGCAGAACCAAGCCUAUGGGAGCAGGAACUGAACUUAGUACUGAAGAGUUAGAAUGCUCUUGGAAAGGGCACACUAGGAGGCUGGCCAUGGUUCCACAGCAAGAACAGGCACUUUACUCAGAUCAACCACUCUACUGUGCUAAACUGACCUAGUGUGGGCUUCAGAGAGGCCUGAUGCCUGAUGAACCUGCUGCACUUUCUCCCUUGACUCCUGGUCCUGAGCAGGGAUGCAUGGGCCUUGCCUGGAUGCCUGGGCCUGCCCUUUAGUGGACACCUUCCUCCCUGGACCAGACUCAGGAAGGACAGCAGGUUCUUAUUUGGGUUGGGAGUUGGGGCCAUGACUGAGAGGAAAGUUGUAGCUGAGAAGAGAAGCUGUGGUUAGCCCUGUGCUGAGACAUGGUACAUUUACAGAAAGAAGAGGAGAAGCAGGAGUGUGAUUGGUUCUCAGUGGUAAAGCAAAAAGGUUUUAGAGUCAGGGGAGGUCAGCAGCUGCUAUUCAGAGGGAGAUGAGAGAGACGAAGAUGAGGAUGGAGAAGUGACCACCUAUGUAGAGACCCUUGUCUCCUUUUCAAGUAAGAGUACUGGACCCUUUUUUAUUUAGACAGAAUAAACCAUGUUAUUCCCAGAUUCCAUUGUUUAGCUAGUGGAGGUAAGCAGAAGAAAGAUUUCCAGGCCAGACUUAAGAGGGAGGGGCACAUACUUUGUUCUAAGGAAUUGUAGGGAGAAUGGUGUAAUGGCUGGAUGUAGUCUGAAUAUGUAGCAGUGUAACUACACUGGACUCUGAGAUGACCUUAGAGUGGCAACUACUCAGGACAUAGCAGAAAAACCAUAGUGUUACACUGUUCUCAUGGAUUUCAUGUGAAAUACAUUUUUCAUGUUUAAGUCAUUUUAUUGUGGAAUGACCUGAUACUAUUUUUCGAAUUAGGGGUCAAACUUAUUUCAAAUCUACCACAUUAUUCAAUCUGGUAGCAAAUUUGUAGGCAACACAGUUAAGGCAAAAGGAGUUGAUGAUGAUGAUGAUGAUGAGGUUUUGAUACAAAGUUGCCACCCUGUCUCAGCCUUCCUAAGGCUUCUGUUACAGGCAUCCGCGGCCAUGCUCUGCUCCUCCUUGCACUUCAGUUUACAAAACCCUUCUAAAACGUUUUAAAGCUGGAUGUUCACAGCUGCACUGUGCUCCUACAUAUAUUCUUUUCAUGGAUGAAGAGGCAGGGAGAGCAGUGACUAACCUCAACUAGCAUCAUGGCCUCAGUGUGUAUUGUCCCUACAGGCCAGUGUGUUUGAACACUUGGUCCCCAGCUAGUGGCACUGCUAUGGAAGGUUUCAGAUCCUUGCUGGUCAUAGUAUCCUAAAGGCAAGGCUUGAACAUUACAAGCCAGCACAGUGCCACCCUGAACUCUCUAUGUCUUGAUCUAUCUAGAGGUGACCGAGCUGAGCCACCUGUUCCACAGCCCCUGGCGAGAGCUGGUUGUGUAACCUUAUCUACCACAACAUACGGGAUUCCCACAAACCACACUUUGCUUCUCUUUGGUGUUUUAUCCCAGUAACCAAAAAACAUACCUUGAAA
rnacentral:sRNA from 1 species